rnacentral:rRNA from 1 species
UACGUAGGGUGCAGGCGUUAUUCGGAAUUACUGGGCGUAAAGCGCGCGUAGGCGGAUCUGCAAGUCGGGGGUGAAAUCCCGAGGCUCAACCUCGGAACUGCCUUCGAUACUGCGGGUCUCGAGUCCGGGAGAGGUGAGUGGAAUUCCUAGUGUAGAGGUGAAAUUCGUAGAUAUUAGGAAGAACACCAGUGGCGAAGGCGGCUCACUGGCCCGGUACUGACGCUGAGGCGCGAAAGCGUGGGGAGCAAACAGG